UGGGGAAUAUUGCACAAUGGGCGCAAGCCUGAUGCAGCCAUGCCGCGUGUGUGAAGAAGGCCUUCGGGUUGUAAAGCACUUUCAGCGGGGAGGAAGGCGGUGAGGUUAAUAACCUCAUCGAUUGACGUUACCCGCAGAAGAAGCACCGGCUAACUCCGUGCCAGCAGCCGCGGUAAUACGGAGGGUGCAAGCGUUAAUCGGAAUUACUGGGCGUAAAGCGCACGCAGGCGGUUUGUUAAGUCAGAUGUGAAAUCCCCGGCUCAACCUGGGAACUGCAUCUGAUACUGGCAAGCUUGAGUCUCGUAGAGGGGGGUAGAAUUCCAGGUGUAGCGGUGAAAUGCGUAGAGAUCUGGAGGAAUACCGGUGGCGAAGGCGGCCCCCUGGACGAAGACUGACGCUCAGGUGCGAAAGCGUGGGGAGCAAACAGG
rnacentral:rRNA from 1 species